AGUGAACGCUGGCGGUAGGCCUAACACAUGCGAGUCGAACGGCAGCACAGUAAGAGCUUGCUCUUACGGGUGGCGAGUGGCGGACGGGUGAGGAAUACAUCGGAAUCUACUUUUUCGUGGGGGAUAACGUAGGGAAACUUACGCUAAUACCGCAUACGACCUACGGGUGAAAGCAGGGGAUCUUCGGACCUUGCGCGAUUGAAUGAGCCGAUGUCGGAUUAGCUAGUUGGCGGGGUAAAGGCCCACCAAGGCGACGAUCCGUAGCUGGUCUGAGAGGAUGAUCAGCCACACUGGAACUGAGACACGGUCCAGACUCCUACGGGAGGCAGCAGUGGGGAAUAUUGGACAAUGGGCGCAAGCCUGAUCCAGCCAUACCGCGUGGGUGAAGAAGGCCUUCGGGUUGUAAAGCCCUUUUGUUGGGAAAGAAAAGCAGCAGGUUAAUACCCCGCUGUCCUGACGGUACCCAAAGAAUAAGCACCGGCUAACUUCGUG
rnacentral:rRNA from 1 species